rnacentral:rRNA from 1 species
AGUGAACGCUGGCGGUAGGCCUAACACAUGCAAGUCGAACGGCAGCACAGUAAGAGCUUGCUCUUACGGGUGGCGAGUGGCGGACGGGUGAGGAAUACAUCGUAAUCUACUUUUUCGUGGGGGAUAACGUAGGGAAACUUACGCUAAUACCGCAUACGACCUACGGGUGAAAGCAGGGGAUCUUCGGACCUUGCGCGAUUGAAUGAGCCGAUGUGGGAUUAGCUAGUUGGGGGGGUAAAGGCCCACCAAGGCGACGAUCCGUAGCUGGUCUGAGAGGAUGAUCAGCCACACUGGAACUGAGACACGGUCCAGACUCCUACGGGAGGCAGCAGUGGGGAAUAUUGGACAAUGGGCGCAAGCCUGAUCCAGCCAUACCGCGUGGGUGAAGAAGGCCUUCGGGUUGUAAAGCCCUUUUGUUGGGAAAGAAAAGCAGCAGGUUAAUACCCCGCUGUUCUGACGGUACCCAAAGAAUAAGCACCGGCUAACUUCGUG